AAUGGGGGAAUCCAGAUAAAAGGAGAAUCCUGUCCAUGAAGGAAAGGGCAUGCCAGGGUGAAGCAAUAAUGCUGUUCUGCAUGCUCCCAAAUCCCAUCAGUGAUCUUCUCCCCAACCUUCUCAAAGUAAAGAGUUUAUUUAAAAACUUUCUCAAUUAUCUGAACACUUUCAUAUUACUGAUUUGAUUUUAUCCUAAUUACAACAUCUCAAGAGGGUGGCAUUAUCUAUAUUUACUGAGAAAAUGGGAGAUUAAGUAAGGAAAGUGAUUUGUCCAGGUCACCAGCAGGGAAGUAGCAUGCAGACCUGAGAUUUGAAUCUGAAUUUCCUAUUUCCAAAUCCUAGUUGCCUUUCCAACUAGAAUGAACUGGCUAUGCUACAUGUCUUCAUAAAAGAAGAAGAUGACUUUUUGAGAGACUUGGGUCUAACCAGGACAUAGUCAACAGUCCCACUCUGGGGGCAUUCUGAUUCCAUCUGCCUUCCUUCCACCCAUGACCCCA
rnacentral:lncRNA from 1 species